rnacentral:rRNA from 1 species
UACGUAGGCAGCAAGCGUUGUUCGGAAUUACUGGGCGUAAAGGGCGCGUAGGCGGAUGGCUAAGUUUGGUGUGAAAUCUCCCGGCUUAACUGGGAGGGUGCGCCGAAAACUGGCUGGCUAGAGUGCGGGAGAGGGAAGUGGAAUUCCUGGUGUAGCGGUGAAAUGCGUAGAUAUCAGGAGGAACACCUGAGGUGUAGACGGCUUCCUGGACCAUUACUGACGCUGAGGCGCGAAAGCGUGGGGAGCAAACAGG